CCCCCAAAAGCACGCAAACAGGAAAGACUUCAGCCAAUGGCAGGCCGCCUAUGCGGGGCGGGGCCCUGGCGCUAGCCAAUGGUAGGCAGUGUAGGGUGAGGGGCGGGGCGGUGCCUCAGCUGUGGGCCGCGGGAGGAGGGGCAGGCUGGGGCGGGGGACCUGUCGGGAUGCCCCGACUUCACCACCUUCCCCGGCCCCCAUUGGUCUGCUGUGGGUCCCGAGAGACUUCAGGAGAGUUAUCUUCAGCCUCUCACUUCCCGUUUUCCCUUCCUAGGCAAAUGUUCUUUUCAGCUUCGCUAAUCCCCGUGGCCAGUUUGUAACUCCCUAGAGUCCAGCUGGAGCCUUCACUCGGUCCUUUGGCCCGCCCCGCCUUGUGGGGGCAGGUCUGGAGGUCUGAAGAGAGUUUGGGCUAAUCCAGGCCCCUUCCCGGCUCCCACCCAACCCCCACUGGCCCCAGGAGACCUGGCUGGAGAAGCCCAUGGGUUCUGAAACCUCCUUUCUCACAGUCUGUGCCCAAAGAUGCUGCCCACUCUUAGUCCGAGUAAGUGUUUGCCGUUUUGACUCUCCUGGGGUCCCAAGUCGUGUCCGGCCCGCCCCACCAGUCAGGAAGAUUCCAUACUGAGUAGGAAGGCAGAGCAAGGGUCUGGUCCCCCCACCACAAUGUGUUUGGAUCCCUAGUUCUUCACUGGCAAAAUCUGCCCUGUCUCUCACAAUAAUGUGAGUCUGAGCAGAAAAUAUUAAUAAUAAACCUAACACUCAUUGCACGUACCAUGUGCCAAGUACUGUUCUAAGCACUUUCCCACAUGUUAAUUAAAAUAGAUGUCAAAAAGUUUUUGAAAGUAGGAAGUAUAGCUAAAUGAUUAUCACUGCUGAUAGUCACAGGCAUUGUAGGGCCCCAAUCAAACCACAGUCUCUCUUGCACCCCAGGAGCUCACUGUCACAAGGCAGACAGAUGCACAGUUGUCAGUGAGAGGCUAUAAUUCCUACCAGAAGAGGGAAAGGGUGGGUCAGAGAUUGGUUAGGACCACAGGGAUGAUUAGCAUUGGAAGGCCUCCUGGAGGAGGUGGACUGCUGUAAACAAUGUCUCUCAAUUCUCCACCCAUGACCUUUGUCCCUUGGGCUCCUGUCAUCACUGACUCACCCAUACUGCUGCCUCCCCCUCACCAACUUCCUGGCAGGAGGCAAAAGUACUGGCCAGUGGGAGUCUGGGAACCAGCACAGGGACCAGCCCAGCUCUAAUCACCCUCCAGAGAUCCCAUCCGGUUCUUCCUUCCAGGGAUACUGGGAGGGUGGGGCACAGACUCCUGGGCUGCUGCCUGCUCAGAGGCCUCUGCCUCCUCCUUUCCCUGCUCUGGGGUCUGGGUGUUCUGCACUGGAAGAGGGCUAAGCCACUGGUACACGUGGGCACAAGGGAGGAAGCUGCUCUGGAAAGGAGACCACCAGAGGGGAGGCAGAGGAGCAGGCCAUGUCUUCAGGGUCCACGUCCUGCCUGGCUCUCCCCAUCGGCGUCCUAGAGGAGGGAGCUUGUGGGGGCACUGCAUGGAGCUGGAGGGCCCUUUCUGCUGUAUUGUUUGGGCUGGGCCUAGUCUAAUCCCCCCAUCUGCCUUGCGGACUAAGUGGGGCCCACAUUCAGGGAGACAGUGUCCCUGCGGAGUUAGUGAUGGAAGCAGGGAGGCCCUGUCUACCAGGGCUGGGAAGGGCCUAGGUGCUGAGUCCAGUCAGGUGCUGAGCAUGCUAGGUAGGGAUGGCGUCUAGGCUCUGGGGGAUUGACUACCCCUCCCCAGAGGGUCUUGGCAAGGGUUCCUGGGCUGUUUCCAGAGGUGUGUGGCACCCACCUCCUGAGUCCACCAAGCCCUGAGGGAGUAGGGAGCCAUGGGUGGGGCAGACCCCUCCUCAUUCCCAGUCCCUCCCACCCCUGAAAGCUGAUAGCCGUGGGGCCCUGCCACCGCCCAGGGAGCGUGAAAUGGGGUGUGCCGCUGGGCAGCCACAGUAGCUCCUACCACCGCCUGGGCCUAUUGCCUUUUCUCCUUGGGCAGCCUCUGGCAUCCUGAGCUGCUCUGUAGAUGUUGGCUGGGCUGUCCCUGCCAGCUUCCCCAGCUUUGCCUGGCACAGGCCCCAACCCAGGCUGGAAGAUGUCUCCCUCAGGCUUCAGCUACCCCCACACCCAAGAAAAAGAUUCAGAGUGGUCAGCUCAAGUGCAGGCACCCUAGGCCUGGCUUUCUGCCUUGGAGUUGAGGGAACUCUCUGCAGGCAGCAUUGCUGCUCUCUCUUAGAUGGCAGUAGGGUGGAGCCCCUAGGAAAGAGUUGGCACCCAGGGAUUUUGGAACCAUCCCUGUCCAACUGGCAUGCCCUGACUCAGCACCUGAAUCCCUAAGGUGCGCUGAGGACUAGGCUGGACCUUGACCUUCCUGUCCUCAGGUCUUUUCCUUCUUUGCUGUCCAACCCCAUCCACCUUCUGUACCUUCUUGCCUAGAACCCCUUCACCUACUCAGGCAGCAUCCUGGCCUCAUUCCCUAAACUGCUGUCUUGGAGCCUGUUCAGGCUUCAGACUGGAUGGCCAGGCCAGAGUUCUGGGUUGGGUGCUGAGUUCUCUCUCCCUGGGGGAAUGUCCUGAGACCCUUGUGUCAGCCCCGACACCCAGAGGCUGGUGAUGAGACUAGUAGGAGUGACCUUUGCACCUCAGCCUGGUAACAAUACCCAAGACCCUUGCUUCAGGGCCAAGCCCAGAGUCCUGGGGGUCCAGGAGAGAAAAGAACUGAAACAGGAACCCGGCACCUUCCCAGGGGCUGAGGCCCACCGCUGACUGCACUCAAGGGAAGGAUUAGGUCUGGCUUAGCUCAGACAAUGUGGUAGAAUGGGGGCCUCAGCACUGCACCUGCAUUCCCUUCCCCCACCUCACCAUGAGGUUUGUGGGGAGAGCCAGGUAGAGCUGGGAAGCUGGAGGCAGGUGGAGAGAGGGGAGCAGCUGCCUGGGACCCAGUGGGCUGUGGGGUGGAUCCAGCUCUUCUUCCCUCUCGCCAGUACCCCCCUUCCUCAGGCCCUUGGGCCCUGCCACCCACCCUGAGCUGAAAGUCAGUCCCACUCAGGAGAUUCUGGGCAGCCAGAAUACCCCUGGCCCCGGCCCCCAACAUACUCACACACCGUGGGCCCCAUUCCUCACCCUGUGGGCCAGAAUUCUUUCAGGCAGUCCUUCCUAGUCCCUCACUGCCUUCCCAGACACUCCCUCUUCCCCUGGUCCAGGUUCUCUGGCCUAAUGUGCUUCCAUCGCAGCAGCUUGAGUGGAAAGGAUGGGGUCUCUGGGUUUUUCUACCACUGCAUCUUCUGUCCUGCUCCUACCACCCUCCACACCUUCUUCUCUAGUCACCUCCUCUUUCACCUUGGCCAUCCAGGCUCUGGAGCAGUUCCGGGAAGACUUGAAAAGGGGCCUUCUGGCCAUUACUCACCUUGGCCACCAGGUGUCAGACUUUGCCCAGCUGGGUGGGAGGAAGGUUCUAGUUAACCAUUUCCACCCCAUCAGUCUGGCCUCAGAGAGAGAUCUGGGCAAGUUGGGGAGGAGCCUAGAGGUGACCACUGAACUGGCAAGGCUGAGGGACCCUGAAGGUUGAGACUGGGAAAAGGACUGGAACUCUGACUCUACAGCUUUCCCCCAGAUCCCCCUCACUGCCACUGCCCCCACACCACCCCACUGACAAGGGCUUUGUCCCCUGCUGGGAAGUUCAGGAACGAGGCUGAGUCAGGGAGCUUGAGAAUUGAAGGAACAAAGGCAGGGACAGUUGUAGCUCCACAGCAGAAGGGGAAGCUGAGAGGGAGCUGCCCAUCGGAGUGCCCAGCCAGGACUGAGUCACUAGCCCUUGCCCUCUAGGUUAAGGGGAACAGAGGGCCUCCCUUUGCCCUUCCCCAUUUAGGGUGGCUGUGGCAAGUGAGAGUGUGUGUGUGCAUGUGUGUGUAAACUCAGUGCUUGAAUGAGCCUCUCAUAUCAUGAGGCGGCCUGUAAGUCUUGGACGGUAGGUCAGUCUUUGCAAAAGUGGAAAACUGGCAAGAUCUGAGUAUUGUGCCAUCUCCCAUCAGAGCCUCCUCUAGCCCCACUUCCCCCAGAGGUUGCCCCUGCCUCAAGUGAUAGUUCUCCAUUUUAUGCUCAUUCUUUCAAACAUAGGUGUGUUUCUAAGCACUCAAGAUGAUGACAAGAUUUCUAAUCCUUACAUUCUAUCUGGAGAUGAUGGAGAGGAGGGUCUUCUCUUGCCCACUCUCCCGAUCCUUGUGGGGACAUGAGGAAUACUAGAGAUAACACACCCUCCACCCUUUGACAUUGCAAUGCCUUAGAGUCUCAUGUUAGCCUCUGGGCCUCUGACUCUGAAGCCAUUCUUAGGAGGUAGAACCUCGAUAACCAACAAAACUCAUUGGAUCUCCUGAAGCAGCUCUGGAUGGAAAACCAAUGACUCACUCACAGAAAACGCCAGUGCCCUGUGAUCUACCAGGUGCUCCCUGUGCUGUGGUGCUGGCAUUUUCACAAGAUGCCUGUGGGACACAGUGCCAAAACACAAACGAGCAGCUCACAUCCCCUGUCACCAUCAUUAGGGGCUAUUUGAGAGAGUUCAAGAACUCACACUCUGAAGUGCCCUCUCUGAUGGUGCUCUCAUCCCCCUCUCCCUCCACCACGCCACCGCCACUGUGGGAGCGUUCUGCGUCCUCAGCAUGCAGGAACCCCAGCGCUCCCCAUUCAGGAUUCUUCUCCCAGCCUAUUCCCCUCCUCUGUUUCCCUCCACUGACCACUCUUCCCUUACUGCCUGGCUCUGGCUCCCAGCCAAUUUCCAGUAGUUUCCAGCAGCCUAGAAUCCCCCUUGAUUCUCUGCCAUUCUUGCCUUGCCAAUCCUCAGCCUUGGAAAAUGCCCUCUUCUCCAGUCUGUCCCUCCCUCUGAAAUGCUAAGGAAUGUCACUGCCCAUGGUGACAGGUCCACGGCAAAGGUGCCUGCUGAUAUCACCGGGUUCUAUUUGGCUGCCCAGACACCCUUUGGCUCUCCUGUGGUUGUCUCCUUAUUCCAUUCUCUAAACCUCCCCAUUUUUCUCCACCCGCCCCCUACUCACUCAGCAAUAACAUGUUUAGAUCACUUCUAUUUAACAACAACAACAACAAAACAAACAAAAGCCUUCUGUGAUCUUGCUAACCUUUCUAGAUGGUGUUUUUUUGUUUGUGUGUUUUUUGAGACAGUCUCGCUCUUGUCGCCCAGGCUGGAGUGCAGUGGUGGGAUCUUGGCUCACUGCAGCCUCCACCUCCCAGGUUCAAGCGAUUCUCCUGCCUUAGCCUCCUGAGUAGCUGGGAUUAUAGGCAUGCACCACCAGGCCUGGCUAAUUUUUAUAGUUUUAGUAGAGAUGGCCAUGUUGGCCAGGCUGGUCUCAAACUCCUGACCUUAAGUGAUCCGCCCUCCUUGGCCUCCCAAAGUGCUGGGAUUACAGGUGCAAGCUGCUGCGCCUGGUCUCUUAACCAGCAAACUCUGAGGGACUUGAUUUACCCCUUCUACUUCUGCCCACCAUGGCCUUCAUUAAUCUCACAACUCGGUGGCUGCCUCUCACCUGCUGUUUCACAAAGGUUGCCUGAGACUUCCUGAUUGCCAAAGCCACUGGAUUUUGCUCAGCAUUCUUCUUGAGCUCCUCUGGGGCAUCUGAGACUGUUGAUCAGCUCCUUCCUUCACCUAGGCUGGAGUGCAGUGGUGUGAUCACAGUUUACUGCAGCCUCGACCUCCCAGGCUCAAGCGAUCCUCCUGCCUCAGCCUUCCUUGUAGCUGGGACCACAGGUGCGCCACCACACCUGGCUAAUU
rnacentral:lncRNA from 1 species